UACGUAGGGGGCAAGCGUUGUCCGGAUUUAUUGGGCGUAAAGAGCGUGUAGGCGGCUUGGUAGGUCCGCUGUGAAAACUCGAGGCUCAACCUCGAGAUGUCGGCGGAAACCACUUGGCUAGAGUCCGGAAGAGGAGAGUGGAAUUCCUGGUGUAGCGGUGAAAUGCGCAGAUAUCAGGAAGAACACCGAUGGCGAAGGCAGCUCUCUGGGACGGUACUGACGCUGAGACGCGAAAGCGUGGGGAGCAAACGGG
rnacentral:rRNA from 1 species